UGGGGAAUCUUGCACAAUGCGCGAAAGCGUGAUGCAGCAACGCCGCGUGGGGGAAGAAGGCCUUCGGGUUGUAAACCCCUUUCAGUGGGGACGAAGCUUCUGCGGUGAACAGCCGUACGGAGUGACGGUACCUUCAGAAGAAGCCCCGGCUAACUACGUGCCAGCAGCCGCGGUAAUACGUAGGGGGCAAGCGUUGUCCGGAAUUAUUGGGCGUAAAGCGCGUGUAGGCGGCUCGGUAAGUCUGCUGUGAAAGUCCAAGGCUCAACCUUGGAAAGCCGGUGGAUACUGUCGAGCUCGAGUCCGGAAGAGGCGAGUGGAAUUCCUGGUGUAGCGGUGAAAUGCGCAGAUAUCAGGAGGAACACCAAUGGCGAAGGCAGCUCGCUGGGACGGUACUGACGCUGAGACGCGAAAGCGUGGGGAGCAAACAG
rnacentral:rRNA from 1 species